AAUUUAAUGGAAUGUAUAAUCUAACACAUGGAUGUCAAACUCAUGGCCCUCCAGCUGUUGCAAAACUACAACUCCCAGCAUUCCCUGAUAGCUGUAGUAUGCCCAGGCAUGAUGGAGUUGUAGUUUUGCAACAGCUGGAGGGCCACGAGUUUGACAUCCCUGAUCUAACACCACUG